rnacentral:lncRNA from 1 species
ACCUUUGUGGUUUCAAAUUUAAAUUAUUGUUAUUCUUGAAGUAGAUUUCUUGUUAAGCAUUGCGCUUACUUUUGUUGUCUACUGUUUCAAGUACCGAGAGUUGGGGCGUGUGAGAUAAUUAGCCAGCGAGAACUCGUUAGAUAGAUUUCCAAUUUUGGGGAUAUGAUUUAUUUUGACAUGAGAUUGAUUAUAUGGACAUUUAGGAGUUAUUGUUUAGUUUCGUUUUAAUUAAUAAAUUAUUUAGUUUUUAACCGAGAUGGUAGCUUUGGAUCAAUUUAAGGCCUUCCGUUUUCGGAGGUUCUUCCUCUGAAUUCAUGGCCAGUUGUUGCGGUUCAGAUCCGAGCAGUCGGAUCUGGGGCGUGACAAUGUUAUUCUUAAUCUAUUCUUAAUUUUUUGUACACAUGGGCCCGUCUUGGGUCCCACCUGUAGUUGUU